rnacentral:rRNA from 1 species
AUGAACGCUGGCGGCGUGCCUAAUACAUGCCAGUCGAGCGAACAGACGAGGAGCUUGCUCCUCUGACGUUAGCGGCGGACGGGUGAGUAACACGUGGAUAACCUACCUAUAAGACUGGGAUAACUUCGGGAAACCGGAGCUAAUACCGGAUAAUAUAUUGAACCGCAUGGUUCAAUAGUGAAAGACGGUUUUGCUGUCACUUAUAGAUGGAUCCGCGCCGCAUUAGCUAGUUGGUAAGGUAACGGCUUACCAAGGCAACGAUGCGUAGCCGACCUGAGAGGGUGAUCGGCCACACUGGAACUGAGACACGGUCCAGACUCCUACGGGAGGCAGCAGUAGGGAAUCUUCCGCAAUGGGCGAAAGCCUGACGGAGCAACGCCGCGUGAGUGAUGAAGGUCUUCGGAUCGUAAAGCUCUGUUAUUAGGGAAGAACAAAUGUGUAAGUAACUAUGCACGUCUUGACGGUACCUAAUCAGAAAGCCACGGCUAACUACGUG